CGGAGGAAGUGGGGAUGACGUCAAAUCAUCAUGCCCCUUAUGACCUGGGCUACACACGUGCUACAAUGGGCGGUACAAAGGGUCGCGAACCCGCGAGGGGGAGCCAAUCCCAAAAAGCCGCUCUCAGUUCGGAUUGCAGGCUGCAACUCGCCUGCAUGAAGCCGGAAUCGCUAGUAAUCGCGGAUCAGCAUGCCGCGGUGAAUACGUUCCCGGGCCUU
rnacentral:rRNA from 1 species